CUUACAGCCCCGCCUCUCGUGAUGAGACUACAACUCCCAAGAGGCAGCGGGCUAGCCGCUCCUGUACCGCCGCGGCUUGUAAGGGAGCAUCGGCGCGCGGGGCACCCCGGAAGUUGCAGGCAGCUCCAGGAGUCUGGGUCGCCGGUUGAAAAGUACCUCUCCCGUGGGUUGCUGCUGUGUAGAACCGGACUUUGCGUGGGCGGCGGUGUUUUUGAUCAGAUCGUGGAGCUUCUCCCCACUCCGUGUCUCGUCUCCCCCAGAGACGUCUUACGGAGGUCUUUAGCCACGGACCUGAGAGUCUCAUCUGUAAAAUGGAAAUGAUACAACUGUUUUUCUCCUAGAAAUUUACAAUAAUUAAGUAAGCGAUAUAAAACGUCAGGCACAGAGCAAUCAGCAAUUAAAAAACGCUAAUAUUCAUUAAGCGCUGUAAUGCUAGUUAUUAGUUUGGGGGUGUGAUUUGUAUUUUGUGGUAGGAGAGAUGCAGACCCAUCUUGCAUCCAGUGCAGAUGGCGAGGAAGCAUUGGGAUGGGGGUGGGUAAGAACUGAUCAAGGUUCAGUCCCCUCCUUUGAGGGGCUCUGAGCUUAGCGGUUUGCUCCAACAAAAUAAGUCUCUCCUGGAGGGGAAAGCUGAAGAUAGAAAUGCAAAGAACCACAAACAAUUCACGAUGUCAGAUAUUUCGUCCCACCUGGCGAGUGUCCGUUGGUUCCUGCCACAGGGUAAACUGGUCCUAGACCACCAAUGGUCUGGGGUCUGCAACACUUCUGCCUGAACAGGGCCCACUGCUGCGGAGGCUUCCGGAACUUUGUGCCCCUCCCGCCGGGUGCUCUUACCUCCCCGCC